rnacentral:rRNA from 1 species
GUGAAGCUGGAUUCGCUAGUAAUCGCGCAUCAGCCACGGCGCGGUGAAUACGUUCCCGGGCCUUGUACACACCGCCCGUCAAGCCAUGGAAGCCGGGGGUGCCUGAAGUGCGUGACCGCAAGGGACGCCCUAGGGUAAAACCGGUGACUGGGGCUAAGUCGUAACAAGGUACC